GUAGCUGAUAUUGAUGGAC
rnacentral:misc_RNA from 1 species